GACAGGUUAUAAAAAGGAAUAUAUACUGGUACAUGUUUUGUUGUUGCUUCAAACCAGUUCAGAACUUUAUUUUGCUGGUCAGAAGAGUUGAACAAAACGAUUGUAAAAUAAUUUGGUUCCAAACCCUGCUUUCUACUCUAGGAAUGCUAACAAGUUGUUUUGUUGGCCAAGUACAUGGAUGUCAUAAACAGGUAAAAAAACUAGGCCUAGUGAUCUACAGGUUAGUUCUACAAAUGUGAUAAACAAUCCGUUUAAAAGGAUACCACUAAGAGACAUUGAUCACACAGAAGUAAACAGUGUUUUAAUGUGAAUUUGCCCAGGUUUAAGCAUAUCCAACAUUCAGAUACAAGAACAAAGCUUAAAAAAUACAAUUGAUAAAAUAUUUUGUUUGCAAUGCGUCUAUAAUAAUUAUUCAAGAACAUAAUAGCAUUUUAUCCACAUGGAAUUAACAAGGCGGUUGUAUGAUCCGAAGGUCCAUGACUGGACAGGCUUCCAUUAUGUUGUAACCAACCUCUAGAGGGAGAGACUGGAUCAGCUUGAAAUUAAGACAAAAACUCACUUGAGUUUACAGUUACAAGAGAAAAUUAUAUCAGCAAGGGGACCAGACUUGUAUACAGUGUAUAUUUUCAAACCUUUGUGGCCAAUGAAAAGCUCAGUUUGAAUUCCUGUCAUGUUUAGGAGCAACUGAAUGUUGCCAUUGCUUAGGUCUAUUAGUCACUAAUGAGUCAUAGAUAACACUAAGUCAGGCAACACAAAAUCAGUUAACAAACCACAAGCAACACAACCAUAAACACAAACCAGUCAGGCAACAGUCAGGCAACACAGCCACAAGCAGCACAAACAAGUCAGGCAACAAACCACAAGCAAUACAGCCACAAGCAACACAAACAAGUUAGGCAACAGAGUGCAUCACCACACUAAUCAGUCAUAACAGCAUGGCCAGGAUCAGCGUGAGAAAAGCUGCUGCUCGUCGAGGCUUUGGUUUCCCAGAAAAAAAGUAUAAAGUUAGUCAGUAUAAAGACGUGACCCCAAAAAAAAGUCCUUUAUACGAGUAGUCCCACCAUGUGGUUUUAUAUUAGUACCACAGCAUAUUUGUUUAUAUAAGAAGUCCUAUUGUAUAGUAGUUAACACUAGUAGUACUAGCGCAUGUAGUUUAUGAAUAGUACUACAGUAUAUAGUUGGUAAUAUAAAUAGUACUAAAGUAUUUAGUUGCUUGUAUUAAAAGUACUACAGUAUAUAGUUGUUUAUAUGAAUAGUACUACAAUAUAUAGUUAUUUAUACAUGUACCAGGGAUGGAGCCAAUGAAAAGGCCAAGCUCUGAUGUUGGACAGUAAACUUCACUUUGAUCUAAGGCACUCAGCAGCACAAUAGGGAUAGUCAUGCAAUCCUAAGUAUGCAAGACGAAACCUGUUUUGACGAACACUACAGCCUGUAUAGAACAGUGUUUAUUUUCAAACCUCAAUCCCCAGCGGAUGCUUUCUGUUGCCAAUGAAAAACACUGUUGGACUGACUGGUUUACCAGCGUUGAAAUUCCUGUCAUGUUUUGGAGAAAAUGUGUUAAAUGUUACCAACUAACCAGUCAGGCCAGGCUCUAAAAGGAGGUAAGCCAGUCAGGCCAGGCUCAAACGGAAGGAAAUUGUUGAGAAAUGUAAUUUUUAUGUAACCUUUAAUAUAUAUAUAUAUUGGGGUUUAACUAGGCAAGUCAGUUGAGAACAAAUUCUUAUUUAAAAUGACGGCCUACCCCGGCCAAACCCUAACGACCCUGGGCCAAUUGUGCGCCGCCCUAUGGGACUCCUAAUCACGGUCGGUUGUGAUACAGCCUGGAAUCGAACCAGGGUCUGUAGUGACACCUUUAGCACUGAGAUGCAGUGCCUUAGACCGCUGCACCACUCUGGAGUAACGACUUUUCAAAUAAGUUACGUUCGCUGACAGUUUGUUAGCAUAGAACUGCAUAGCGUAUCAUUACAGCAGUUGCUUGUAGGUACUGUAUGUUAGCUAGUUACUAAUACAAACUCGCCAGUAUAUUAACUAUAUGCAAACUACCCAAAAUUUAUUGGCUUGAUUAUUCUUGGCUUAGCUAAGUGGUAUAGCCAUUGUGGGUUCUCAAUGAAGUCAUAAAACGUCUAGCUAGUCAUUUGUUAGCUAUGCUAACAAGAAGUUGCAUAGCAACAGCAUCAACUACAGAUAGACAGGCAAAGCGCUAGUACAAUCAACUGAAAGGAUACCGGACAUUUACAGUAUACUAAAAAUCAACAAACAGUAUAUAGUAUGUAAUAUACACUUAUUAAGUAUGUAGUAUACAGUUUGUUAGUAUUCAAACACAGCUAUCGCCAAAAACAGUCCUUACUUUUCACGAGUCGUCCCACCAUAUAUGGAUUUCUAUUAGUACCACAGCAUAGUUGUUUAUAUAAGUAGUGCUAUGGUAUAGUAGUUAACACUAACGCAUGUAGUUCAUAUGAAGAGUACUACAGUAAAUAGUUGUUUAUAUAAAUAGUACUACAGUAUAUAAUUGUUUAUACCGGGGAUAAAGCCUGAUGAAGGGGAUGUGCUCUGAUGUUGGACCGUCAACCAAACCUAUAAGAAGUGUGACAAUGACAUUAAAAUCACAGAGAACAGACAUUCAGUUCACUAGACAUGUUAAAGACUUAAUUUGUAUAAAUGUUUUAAUGUUUCUUGUUUUAACUACUGUAAAUAACAUCAUAGCAGAUUUUUUCUUAACAUGAAAUUCAUGUUUGUGGCAUGAGUUAUGGUUCACUUAUUGCUAAUUAUUGUGUGAGAACGUGGUUGAAUGUCCUACCUUGAUGCUACAGAAUGUCUUUUUCUAAACCACUUGAAUCCUUGGCUGCAGCUUUCCUAUAACGACACAAACAUUAGCACAAGUGUUCCAGGUACAGGAGGAUCGUUUCACCAUACGUUCAGUUGGCUGUAUUUAUAUUUAAUGAUGAUAAUAAUUCUAUAGUUACCACCUUUUGACCUUGACCCUCUGCCUGAUGAAUGCAAUGAGGAAGGAGAGGAUGAGGAUGCCAACGAUAAAGGCCACUACCCCCAGGGUGAGCGGAACACCGAUUGCCUCAUUGACACUCUCAUGGCAGAACUCUCCUCUGUACCCCAGGAUACACUCACAGGUGGUGACCUGUCCCUGAGCCACACAGUGACCAUGUCCUUUACACAGCUGGACAGCACAAGACUGCAGGUCCAGGCCACGCACCACACCAUCGUCCAGGUGGAGGGUUACGGUAGGAGAGAUAGCCAUGACGUCGGCUGAGCCUCAGGUCACACCAGGGUAGCUGGGGAUGGAGCAAAGACCUAAAGCCUUAACAUACAGUAUGUAUAGUACCAUCUAUACCAUGUGUUAUAAAAUGUCUAAAAACCUGUUUUCGCUUUGUCAUUUGAGUAUUGUGUGUAGAUAAAUGUUUUUAUUCAAUUUUAGAAUAAGGCUGUAAAUUAAAAUGUGGAAAAAGGGUCUGAAUACUUUUCGAACGCACUGUAUCCUCAUUAUGGCUGAGGCAACAGCUAGACUAGAAGACAUGCUCUGUAGUUAUGGCUGAGCAGACAGCUAGACUAGAAGACAUGCUCUGUAGUUAUGGCUGAGCAGACAGCUAGAUUAGAAGACAUGCUCUGUGCUUAUGGCUGAGCAGAGCUAGAUUUGAAGACAUAUGUACUGUAGUUAUGGCCGAGCAGACAGUUAGAAGACAGAUACAGUGGGGCAAUAAAGUAUUUAGUCAGCCACCAAUUGUGCAAGUUCUCCCACUUAAAAAGAAGAGACGCGUGUAAUUUUCAUCAUAGG
ensembl:lncRNA